rnacentral:tRNA from 1 species
GUUCGAUUAGCUCAGGUGGGAGAGCGUUGUAGGUGUGUAUACUAAACAUGUACACACCUACGAAGGUCAGGAGUUCGAAUCUCCUAUCGGACA